GAAUCGCUAGUAAUCGUGGAUCAGAAUGUCACGGUGAAUACGUUCCCGGGCCUUGUACACACCGCCCGUCACACCAUGGGAGUGGACUGCACCAGAAGUGGUUAGCUUAACCUUCGGGAAAGCGAUCACCACGGUGUGGUUCAUGACUGGGGUGAAGUCGUAACAAGGUAGCCGUAGGGGAACCUGCGGCUGGAUCACCUCCUU
rnacentral:rRNA from 2 species